rnacentral:rRNA from 1 species
GACGAACGCUGGCGGCGUGCUUAACACAUGCAAGUCGAACGGAGAUUCAGCAAUGGAUCUUAGUGGCGAACGGGUGAGUAACGCGUAGGCAAUCUGCCUUCUAGAUGGGGACAACAUCCCGAAAGGGGUGCUAAUACCGAAUGUUGUAGUUGGUUCGCAUGGACUAGCUACUAAAGGUGGCCUCUGAAUAUGCUACCGCUAGAAGAUGAGCCUGCGUCUGAUUAGCUAGUUGGAGGGGUAACGGCCCACCAAGGCUUCGAUCAGUAGCCGGUCUGAGAGGAUGAACGGCCACACUGGGACUGAGACACGGCCCAGACUCCUACGGGAGGCAGCAGUGGGGAAUCUUCCGCAAUGGACGAAAGUCUGACGGAGCAACGCCGCGUGAGUGAAGAAGGUUUUCGGAUCGUAAAGCUCUUUCGUUAGGGACGAACGUGCUCUUUGUGAAUAAUGAGGAGUAAUGACGGUACCUAAAUAAGAAGCCACGGCUAACUACGUGCCAGCCGCCGCUGUAAGAC